UGGUCUCAAUCUCCUGACCUCGUGAUCUGCCCGUCUCGGCCUCCCAAAGUGCUGGGACUACAGGCGUGAACCACCGCAUCUGGCCAGAGUGUUUUUAAAAGAAGCCAACCAUUUCUAUCAGUCACAAGACUCUCUACUUAAAUUUCAAUUUUAGCAACAACACAAUCUAAAGGGUGCUGAUUCCUGCAACACAUGUUUCACCACCUCCAUGGCUAACCAGCUUCCAGGCGCAGUGGCUCAUGCCUAUAAUCCCAGCACUUUGGGAGGCCGAGGCGGGCAGAUCAUCU